UACGUAGGGGGCAAGCGUUGUCCGGAAUCAUUGGGCGUAAAGCGCGCGUAGGCGGCCCGGUAAGUCCGCUCUGAAAGUCCAGGGCUCAACCCUGGAAAGCGGGUGGAUACUGCCGGGCUAGAAUCCGGAAGAGGCGAGUGGAAUUCCUGGUGUAGCGGUAGAAUGCGCAGAGAUCAGGAAGAACACCGGUGGCGAAAGCGCUCUGCUGGACCAUAACUGACACUCAGAGACGAAAGCUAGGGGAGCGAAUGGG
rnacentral:rRNA from 1 species